AUUGAACGCUGGCGGCAGGCCUAACACAUGCAAGUCGAGCGGAUAAAGGGAGCUUGCUCCUGGAUUCAGCGGCGGACGGGUGAGUAAUGCCUAGGAAUCUGCCUGGUAGUGGGGGAUAACGUCCGGAAACGGGCGCUAAUACCGCAUACGUCCUGAGGGAGAAAGUGGGGGAUCUUCGGACCUCACGCUAUCAGAUGAGCCUAGGUCGGAUUAGCUAGUUGGUGGGGUAAAGGCCUACCAAGGCGACGAUCCGUAACUGGUCUGAGAGGAUGAUCAGUCACACUGGAACUGAGACACGGUCCAGACUCCUACGGGAGGCAGCAGUGGGGAAUAUUGGACAAUGGGCGAAAGCCUGAUCCAGCCAUGCCGCGUGUGUGAAGAAGGUCUUCGGAUUGUAAAGCACUUUAAGUUGGGAGGAAGGGCAGUAAGUUAAUACCUUGCUGUUUUGACGGUACCAACAGAAUAAGCACCGGCUAACUUCGUG
rnacentral:rRNA from 1 species